UUCCUUCGGUUUGCCAGGGGGUGUCCCUAUC
rnacentral:piRNA from 1 species